GCUGGGUAUGGUGGCAUAUACCUGUAAUCCCAAUGGCUUGGGAGGCUGAGGCAGGAGGAUUGCAAGUUCAAGACCAACCUCAGCAAUUUAGUGAGGCCCUAAGCUAUUUAGCAAGACCCUCUCUCAA
rnacentral:sRNA from 1 species